rnacentral:lncRNA from 1 species
UUUCUUCCUUUACCCUUUCUUCUUCACCGGCCAGUCCCACCACAUUACCAGCACACCCAUCCACCACCACCACUCUCCUUCCCGCUCACAACACUCCACCACCGUUGCUUCAGUCACCAUCUCCGAACUCAUCAACACCGUCGCCGCCGUCAUUUCAGAUCUAACAACCUCACAACACUACCACUCUCCUUCCCGCUCACAACACUCCACCAUCGUCGCUUCAGUCACCAUCUCCGAACUCAUCAACACCGUCGCCACCGUCAUUUCAGAUCUAACAACCUCACAACACUACCACUCUCCUUCCCGCUCACAACACUCCACCAUCGUCGCUUCAGUCACCAUCUCCGAACUCAUCACCA